UACAGAGGUCUCAAGCGUUAAUCGGAAUUACUGGGCGUAAAGCGUGCGUAGGCGGUUCGUUAAGUCUGUUGUGAAAGCCCCGGGCUCAACCUGGGAAUGGCAAUGGAUACUGUCGAGCUCGAGUCCGGAAGAGGAGUGUGGAAUUCCUGGUGUAGCGGUGAAAUGCGCAGAUAUCAGGAGGAACACCAGUGGCGAAGGCAGCACUCUGGGAAGCGUGACUGACGGCUGAGACGCGAAAGCGUGGGGAGCAAACAGG
rnacentral:rRNA from 1 species